AUUGAACGCUGGCGGCAGGCCUAACACAUGCAAGUCGAACGGUAACAGGAAGAAGCUUGCUUCUUUGCUGACGAGUGGCGGACGGGUGAGUAAUGUCUGGGAAACUGCCUGAUGGAGGGGGAUAACUACUGGAAACGGUAGCUAAUACCGCAUAACGUCGCAAGACCAAAAAGGGGGACCUUCGGGCCUCUUGCCAUCAGAUGUGCCAAGAUGGGAUUAGCUAGUAGGUGGGGUAACGGCUCACCUAGGCGACGAUCCCUAGCUGGUCUGAGAGGAUGACCAGCCACACUGGAACUGAGACACGGUCCAGACUCCUACGGGAGGCAGCAGUGGGGAAUAUUGCACAAUGGGCGCAAGCCUGAUGCAGCCAUGCCGCGUGUAUGAAGAAGGCCUUCGGGUUGUAAAGUACUUUCAGCGGGGAGGAAGGGAGUAAAGUUAAUACCUUUGCUCAUUGACGUUACCCGCAGAAGAAGCACCGGCUAACUCCGUG
rnacentral:rRNA from 1 species